rnacentral:lncRNA from 1 species
GACCAUCAAUGAUUUAUUUUAUCCUGCAGAUGAGGAAAAGAUUGGUGAGGUGAAAGACAAAGAUGAUAGUUAUGGGUUGUUAGAAGAAAUUGAUAUGCCAGAAAAUUGUCAAAUGGAUGGAAUUGAAUAUCUAGGCCCUCCCAUUGAUGACACUAUGUUUUAGUUUCAACAUGUAUUGAUUCCAUUAGCAUCUUAUACAAAUUGUUCCAACCUUUUUUUUUCUUCCCUUUGUGUAUACACUAAGAAUUAAUGUGUGGUUUUUGUUCUUUAGUGGUAAAUUUUAAGUUGAAAAGUAUAUUUAGAUCAUAGUGUAAUUGUUCGUUUUUUUUUUCUUUCUUAAAUAUCACUUUGAUCCUUUAACUUAUUUUAAAAAUUAUGUUCGGUCCCUUAACUUUAAAAUAGUUUAAUUUGGUCUUUUCCUUUACGUGAUUGGUAAAGGCUGUCACAAUUUCUUUAGUUGAAAUCAGAACAUUGAAGCACUUGAAAUGAGACUGAAGUAAAAGAAAAUUGCUCUUCUCUCAUUUAUUUCACAUUCCCACCCUACACGCUAAAAAUACACGCACGGCUAUUUGAAGGGAAUGAAUAAAAACAUGGGAGAAGAGCAAUUAAAGAAAAAAUGCGGGUUUGAAAGAUUGAAAGGGUAAUUUGGAGGCAUGUACAGCCCACUCUAAGUUUUUGCUAUCCACACCCUUCAACUCUUUUUCAAUUACACUCGCCAUCGUUCACACAAUCAAUUUCAUUUCCUUUUUCUUUUUUGAUAAGGAAAAAUUUAGAAAGAAAAAAACAGAUUGGAUUAGAUGAAAAAAAUAGACAUAUCUUUCACCUUUUUGAUUUGGUAAACUUGGAUUAGAUGAAUGUUGUUUCUAAAAAUAAAUUUGGUAAACUUUUUUUUUUGAUAAAAAUAUAUGAUAUGCAUUCAUUCAAAUUGAUAGAGUACAUUGAUACAAUGUAAAUUCGCUAAAAACAAAAGAGAUGAAUCUGUGAACAAACUCACAGCAUCCAUGUUAAUAACAUAACACGGCAAAAUACAAAAACCUACACUUAUGACUAUAUUCAAGUCUCCGAAAUACUCAUGUCUCAGGAUCUGCAACGUUGAUGACGCCAAAUUCAUUGAUUGGAUUUGCACUGGAUCUAAGCUGAUUUGACAAUCUGAACCGAACAAAUACAUGAACAAAACAAAACAAACUUCGCACAAAGACGACGAACAACACAACGUCGUACUAAGACGACAAAAUCACGAAAGAGAAAACGAAAUAGAUGUAAAAAUCACUUAUUUCAAUAAAAAAGAAAAAGAAAAACGGGUUAGAGGGGUGGUUUUGGGUCAAAUUGACCCUAAAUCACCCCUCUUUGAUAGAUGAAGUAAAAGAAACUAUGGUUUUGGUGAUGGCUCACAAGAGAGAAGGAGAAGAGAGAGAUAAAUUUGAUAAACUUGAAAGAAACAACUUGAAUAAUUCUAUAUCCAAAAUACCAUUAAUGUUGAUUUUAAAACAUUGCUCUCAAGUUCCAAAUCACAAUAGAUAACUAACAUGUUAUGUUUCGGUGUUUUCGUUCCUUGCUUCUAAGUACACAUUAAGAAUAGGAGCCUCAAUACACAACUACAUUGUCAAAGCCAACCAAUAGAUGUGGAAGUUGCUUGCAAAGAUGAAGUUGAUUGUAAUUGUUGGCGACGACAAAGACAAUUGCUACGCUAUGAUUAAGUUUAUUCACUAUGGUUUUUCAUUUUUUUCUUUUUUUUCAAAUGCCCCAUUAUAACCCUAAAGACCCCAUAAGUGUGUAGUUGUGUAUCAUGUUGAUUAAAUUGCUUAGAAUAUUUUCAAUCCUAUGGUAAAAUGGUAUAGGUGUAAUGAUUGGGUGACAUACCAAAUCAAACACAUUAGAGAAUUGGUGGGAGGGUGUGAAAAGGAAGUUUAUUAUGUAUGAUUAAAUUAUUUUGAAAAAUUCCUUGAACUUGCCUGAAUUGAAGUUUCAAGAAUGAAAGUGAUAUAUAAGCUUUAUCACUAAAGUAAACAUGUGGAAAAUAUUGUUUAAAUUGGGGUUGAUGUUGAUCAAGGAGAUUUGUUAAGACAUGCAACAAUUCAAGUUUAGUCAUGUUUGUAGAGUCUUUUAGUAUGAUUUUGAGUUUUUAAUUGUGAAUUUAGCCAAAUAUUGCAAGGAGUGAGAUUUUUUCCACUUAUGUAGAAGAAAUAGAAAAAAAAAUAUAUAUAUAUAGAAAUGUUGAAGUGUAGCACUAAUCCCACAAGUACACGGUACACGCAUAAACGGUCAAUCUAAAACCAAAGUGAAAGUCAAUCUAAAACCAGCACAGAUACCAUAUUAAUCUAGUUUUACAAAAUGAUUUGGCAUCCUAAAAACAACAAACAACAUCAUAAUCCCCUAAAAAAAAUGACAGCAUAUUCUCAAAACAAAACAAUACAUGUAUCUAUAACUAUUAAAUACUACCAUUGAUAAACAAUUACAAGAGUUGAAUAGUAGAUUUAGUGAGCAGGCAAUGGAUUUGUUAACUCUAAGUUGUGCUUUGACUCCUAAGGAUAAUUAUAAAGCUUUUGAUGUUGACACUAUUUGCACUCUUGUUGAAAAAUACUAUCCAUGAAUUUCAAUUAUCAAGAGAAUAUUCAAUUAUGUUAUCAACUCGAGCAAUUCUUUGUUGAUACCCACAAAGAACCAUGUUUGAAGAAUUUAUCAACUAUUCAAGAUUUAUGCUCGUGUUUGGUUGCAACUGAGAGGAAUAAAAUUUACUUCUUGAUUGAUAGACUACUUCGCCUUAUCAUGACUCUUCCAGUUUCUACAGCCACAACUGAGAAACAAGAUGGGAAGUGGGUUUCUAAAUGAUAGCAUGACGGUUUAUAUCGAAAGGGAAAUUAGUGCAAGUAUUAGUUCUGAGUUAGUUAUUAAUUAUUUCAAGUUUGGAUUGCGUAACGACUUAUUUUAAUUUUCUAAGGUAUGUAGUUUACUUUUUUGAUGAAACUUUGUGCUUAGCGUUUAUUACAAGAGAAAAAUUUAUGUUUAUAUAUUAGAGUAUGUUUUGUUGGCCCACCCCAAAUAUUUUUUCUAGCUCCACCACCGGUACUUAUUAUGUAUGUUAUUCAACAUUGUAAUGUCACGUGUAUAUUCAAAUAUUGUAGUGCAAUAUGUAAGGUUAUUGUAUAAUUGAUGUUUGAGUUGCCAUGUGUAUUUCUAUGUGAAAUGUAUGUUGUGAUGAAUGUGUGUCUCAUGUUUUUUUUUAUGCAUGUGUUCCAUAUUUUGUUUAUCUUUCAAACGUAAAUAUGUGUUCCAUAAUUUUUAAUAUUUAUUAGUGAAAAAUAUUUGUCUCGUGUUUUAUUAAUGAAUCAACUACAAAUAUUUUCCUUGUGGCUUGUUAUAUUCUUCACUCAUAAGUAUUUGUUGUGUAAUUGAUUCUUCACUUUAAUUGUUCAUAAAUGCUAAUUAGAAUUUGAAUUUUUGUUAUUAUUGUAUUUAUUAUGUACGUUAUUCAACAUUGUAGUGUCACAUGUAAUAUUCAAACAUUGUAGUGCAACAUGUAAGGUUAUUGUAUAUUCGAUGUUUGAGUUGUCAUGUGUAUUUCUAUGUGAAAUGUAUGUUGUGAUGGAUAUUUGUCUCAUGUUUUAUUUAUGCACAUGUCCCGUAUUUUGUUUAUCAUUCAAACGUAAAUAUGUAUUCCGUGAUUUUUAAUAUUUAUCAGUGAAAAAUAUUUGAAGAAGAACAGAGUGAAGCAAGUUAUAACAAAAUGUGAGAGAUUGCAAUCGUUUUCUCUUCGAAUGUGAUCAUUAUCAUUGGUUGAAGAUGACACUUUCCAAUGAACGGAGGGUAGCAUUAAGGAAGGAAUUCACAUGGUUCUCAACUCAUGGUGGGAGAUUUAGAACCUUACCGAUUUUCAUAUCAGUGCCAACUUGUCCAAAACCUCCAUUGAUCAUAUGUGCGACAACAUUUGUUCUUGGUUCAUCGACUCUAAUGAAGCUCGCGGUCUUAAUUCUGCAGUUGAUUCACUUCCGCAAUUCAUGGGUCCACAACAUAUGUGUGGUUUCGCCGGAGAGCUGGAUUUUUUUUAUGAGAGUGUGGAUGGGGUUUUCCGAACAACUAUUCUUAAUAUAUCAAGAAUGCUCCAAAGGGGAUUUUCAUUCUAAUGAUUUAAUCAAACAGGCAAAUGUUAUCCUAGUUCGUUGUGAAAUGCAGGAAGCUGGUCAAAAAGAAUCCAAGGUUCCACAAGGGUCAAAGGUUUAUUUGGAAGGAUUAACUCCUUUGCCUACAUACCCUUAAAGAAAAGGGAUCAAAACCAAUGUAGUUCCCCUAAGGAAUUUCUUUGGUGGGUUGGAUUGAUUUUAGAAGUUUUGAAAAUGGUUUGAAGAAGAGAUAAGAGGCUUCAAGGCAUGAGAGAAAAUAAGAUGAGGUUGGUCAAAUUUUAAUUACAAGAAAUUCAAGUCUAAUAUGGAUAUUAAAUUGAUUAAACAUUUGAUUAAGAAAAUAAAAGGAAAAAGCACUUGGGUUAAAAUCCAAGGUUUACUAAGAAAAUAUUUUUUGAAGUUUUGCAUAUUUGAUUUUUUUUGGGAAAAUGAUUUUUUCUAAACUAACGGUAAAAGCUAGCGUAACGGCGUAACGUAACAAGAAAUAAAUAUGAAGUGUCGGUGCGUUGUGUUAUUACAUCAAUUCCUAGAUACAUUCUAUGGUCUCAAUAUAAAUAUAAUAGCGAGAAAUAAAAUGCGCAAAAUAAAUUACAUCAAUUUUCUAAUUAUACACACUAAAUUAAUGAUGGCAAGAAUUAAAUAUGCAUGCAAUAAUUCUAAGUAAAAUUAUACUAUAAGUAAGCACAAAAUAGAUUGAGCAUGAAAUAAACCACAAUUAAUGAUAAACAAACAAAUACCAAGAGAAAGUAGUGAAGAUAAGCAAUUAAAAACAACUUUUAAAGCUAGAAAGUUUUAAAAAGAGGAAAAUAAAUUUUUAACAUAAAAAGAGACAUUAAAAUAACAAAAAUGGUGAAAAAUAUAUGAAAAAUAGUGGAGAAAUAAUAAAAAAACAAUAAUUGGCUCAGCUGAGAUGAAUCAAGAGGUCCCAAUUCAAUCACUACAUAGGCUCAUUACAGCCAUAAGAUUAAUCAAGAGGUUAUAAACAAAUAAACACACAUAGAGACAGUGUACUGUAUCUCAAACAGGAGCAUCCUAGGGCGUUGGAUCUGUAAUCCAACGGCCUAGUUCUGGAGUUGCACAGAUACACCGUAAGCAGCAAACACACGAACAAAGAUGGAACAUACAGUAGCCAUCAGAUCUUGGAACAAUCCAGAUAUGAUGGCUAGAGACCUUAAGGAGCAUGGUAAACAGGAAAACGUACACACAUGGAAUUUGACCAUACAAAAUAUAAUAUAUAAGCAAAUUCCUCGACACCGCCUCCUUUCUCCUUAUGAACACCACCGCCUCCUUCAUCUUCUCCGGCGAGAAGUGAACACUCCGGCGCGGUGGCUGGCCACCCUAGGGUGGUGGCGCCGCCGCCGGCAACCUCCCAAACUCCUCAGAUUAAAAAAAAAAACAACAAGUUUCUAACAUCCUUUUUUGUGUUGAUUUCAUAUAUCACCUUAGAUUUUCACAAAACAAAACCAAAAGUCCUAGAUCUAGCUUUUUAGUUUCGAAUUUUUUUCAAAGAAACGAUGAACACGAAGAACAAAGGAAGCGUUACCUCUGUUUGAAUCGGAGAAAUCAACACUAACGCGACGGAAACUUCAACAAAGCUCGAUCUAAAACCGCACCAAUUUUAACUUCUUCCUUUCUCUGCCGUUUCCGAUCCGAGAAUAUUAUUGCUGAUUGAUUCUGCUUUGUGGGCCGUGAAUAUGUUCGGUGAAUCUGGUUUGGAUUUGUGUUGGGUAUGGUAGAUGAUGAGUUUGAUCCCGAAAAAAAAAAAUUAGUGUUAGUAUUGUGGUUGUUUAUGAUCUUCGGAUUUGUGUGAUUUGUGAAGGUUUAUGGUGUUGAUUUGUAUUUCUGAAAAGGGUUAAGGUUCAUGUGUUCUUGAGAUUGUUCAUAAUUUUCGUGAAGUUUUUUUGUGGUUUGAUCUACAAAAGAAGAGAGAGAAAGUUGAGAAGUGUUUGUAAUAAAAGUGGCUGAAAUUUCUGACGAAACUUAGAGAAAAAGAUUGCAAGGAUCAAUGAAUGACUGCCAAGUAUACUGGACUUAAGACUUUAAUAUAAAAAAAAACAAGUUAAAAGGG